AGUGAACGCUGGCGGUAGGCCUAACACAUGCAAGUCGAACGGCAGCACAGUAAGAGCUUGCUCUUACGGGUGGCGAGUGGCGGACGGGUGAGGAAUACAUCGGAAUCUACUUUUUCGUGGGGGAUAACGUAGGGAAACUUACGCUAAUACCGCAUACGACCUACGGGUGAAAGCAGGGGAUCUUCGGACCUUGCGCGAUUGAAUGAGCCGAUGUCGGAUUAGCUAGUUGGCGGGGUAAAGGCCCACCAAGGCGACGAUCCGUAGCUGGUCUGAGAGGAUGAUGGGGAACAAUGGAAAUGAGACACGGGACAGAGUGAAAAGGGAGGCAGCAGUAGGGAAUUUUGAGAAAUGGGCGAAAGGUUGACGGAGCACAGCCGCGUGAGUGAUGAAGGUCUUCGGAUAGCAAAACUCUGUGAUUAGGGAAGAAAAAAUGGGUAAGUAACUAUGCACGUCUUGAAGGUACCUAAUAAGAAAAAAAGGGCUAACUACGUG
rnacentral:rRNA from 1 species